rnacentral:rRNA from 1 species
UACGUAGGGGGCAAGCGUUGUCCGGAAUCAUUGGGCGUAAAGAGCUCGUAGGCGGCUUGUCGCGUCGGCUGUGAAAACCUGGGGCUCAACCCCGGGCCUGCAGCCGAUACGGGCAAGCGUAGAAUUCGGUAGGGGAGACUGGAAUUCCUGGUGUAGCGGUGAAAUGCGCAGAUAUCAGGAGGAACACCGGUGGCGAAGGCGACAUCCUGGACCGGUAUUGACGCUGAGGCGCGAAAGCCAGGGGAGCAAACGGG